UGCAUUCACUACUGUAAGUCGCUCUGGAUAAGAGCGUCGGCUAAAUGUGAUGAC
rfam:Salmo salar isolate Sally breed double haploid chromosome ssa18, whole genome shotgun sequence.